rnacentral:rRNA from 2 species
UUUGCGGCGGCCAUGGCCCAGGUGAGACGCCCGGUCCCAUUCCGAACCCGGAAGCUAAGGCCUGGCACGGCGAUGGUACUGCACCCGACAGGGUGUGGGAGAGUAGCACGCCGCCGCACCAC